rnacentral:rRNA from 1 species
UACCGCGGUUAUACGAGAGGCCCAAGUUGACGGGCUCCGGCGUAAAGCGUGGUUAAGGAAUAAUAAAUACUAAAGCUAAAUGCUUACUAGGCUGUUAUACGCUCCCGAAAGUAAGAAGACCAUCCACGAAGGUGGCUUUACCUUACCUGAAUCCACGAAAGCCAAGGCA